UACAGAGGGUGCAAGCGUUGUUCGGAAUUAUUGGGCGUAAAGAGCUCGUAGGCGGCCUGUUGCGUCCGCUGUGAAAGCCCGGGGCUUAACCCCGGGUCUGCAGUGGAUACGGGCAGGCUAGAGGUAGGUAGGGGAGAAUGGAAUUCCCGGUGUAGCGGUGAAAUGCGCAGAUAUCGGGAGGAACACCGGUGGCGAAGGCGGUUCUCUGGGCCUUACCUGACGCUGAGGAGCGAAAGCGUGGGGAGCAAACAGG
rnacentral:rRNA from 1 species